ACCGACGCUGGCGGCGUGCUUCACCCAUGCCAGUCGAACGGGAAGGCCCUGCUUUUGUGGGGUGCUCGGGUGGCGAACCGGUGAGUAACCCGUUAGUAACCUGCCCUUGACUUUGGGAUAACUUCAGGAAACUGGGGCUAAUACCGGAUAGGAGCUCCUGCUGCCUGGUGGGGGUUGGGAAGUUUCGGCGGUUGGGGAUGGACUUGCGGCUUAUCCGCUUGUUGGGGGGGUAGUGGCUUAACAAGGGUUUGACGGGUAGGCGGCCUGAGAGGGUGACCGGCCACAAUGGGAAUGAGAUACGGGCCAGACUCCUACGGGAGGGAGCAGUGGGGAAUAAUGCAAAAUGGGCGGAAGCCUGAAGGAGCAACGCCGCGGGCGGGAUGACGGCCUUCGGGGUGUAAACCGCUUUCGCCUGGGACGAAGCGUGAGGGACGGUAAUGGGUAAAGAAGCACCGGCUAACUACGUG
rnacentral:rRNA from 1 species